AUCACCCGUCUGGAGAAAAACAACAAGGCUGGAGGAGAAAGAAAAGCAAGCCUACACAGUGGAAUACCGCAUCUUUUCCAAGUAGCUGAAUUCUGCUAAGAGCAGCUGUGACCACAAGCUGACUUCUGUGUGCUUGCACCCACAAAAAACAGCGUGUAGCUUAGAAAAUGUCCUCUCGAACCACAAGUCACUCUCCUGUCCCUGCUCACACCUGUGUGCCAGGUCUUUUACAGAGAGCCCAUGUAAAAACAAGAGCUGUGCAUUCAGGGGCUAUUUCCACCCAUGUGAAUAGAGACAAUGGACACUUAUUAAUAGCAGAAGAGGUCCCUACCACAUAGUUGGUUUGGUUUAUUUAUUUUCCAGUGAUGCUUAAAAAGAUAAUUCAGAAAUGUAUGCCAUGCUACCUGCUGUACUGAGAGACCUUCACAAUGCUGUUCUUCAUCUACCGAGAAAACAGGGUCUGUUACUGACCAUCAAGAGACUAAAUGGGUUGAUGGGUGUUUCAGCACAGGCUUGUCAUCAUAUCCAGGUUCCUGAAACCUUUAUUCUCAGAGGGGAAACCUCCUAGAGAACCGGCUGCGGUAUGUCUGUCUACUCUGUUUGUUCAUUGUGAAAUAGUGAACCUGGAAGGCCACCCUAAAAAAGGAGCAGAACCUUACACACUCUAUUGGCUUCCCUUGGUGGUUACUUCUAGCAGUAGAAGCUCUGGACUACAGCCCUUGUCCUGAAUAAUGUCUUGGUGGGAAACAGCUGCACCUCUGCAUUUUUGACAAUGGAAUCUGUUUCUCCGGUAUCACAACCAAAUGGGACAGAAGGGAAGAUGCCGAGAUAGACCCUUGUAUUUUACCAUAACUCAGGGCUUUCGUGUCAAAAGCUGCACAAAGACACCAGAAAAAGAGAGUGUGUCUGGGAUAGCUUGGCACAGAAGAACGACGGACAACAGUGCGACAAAAACGUAAACACUGAAAUGCAGGGACCGUACUAUCUGCAGGAGAAGAACUGACUGUAUUACCACCCCAAUACUUGAUACCUUUUUAGGCCAUGGAAAGUAGUUGGUUUAGUAGUCAGCACUGUGAAAAAAACAGUGUAGACAUUUACAGGCAGAUCCUGAAAGCAAGUAUAAACAUACUUGCUGACUAAGUCAAUAAGCAAUAGAAAUAGGUAUCUUAGAAUCAGUCAAAGGGAGGAAAUGAGUCUUCAAUCUGGCUGGAAUGACAGGCUGUAUCCUAGAACUACGAUAUAAAUAGCCUGCAAUGCUGAGAUGAAGUGAAUGGGAAGACCUGAGCAAAAGACUAUAGGAAUGAAUCUGUCUUAGGAAUUGAUCUGAAUAACAGAAUAUUAGUUUUCUCUCUAGAGGAUAGGAAAAAGGUAAAGAGCAGCUCUGCAGUCUGUGUUGAAUUGAGUUUUGUCUUAGACUGUGAAUGACCGAGGGAAUAAGUUAAGAAUUAUUUUCUGAAGAGGCAAUUCUUGAACACAGAAGUAGAUCUACAGAUCUUUCAGCAAAAUAAUUAGCCUAGUAACUUCCAGGAGUGGGUUAGAGGCCCCAGAAAUAAGCUCUGCAGGGAAAAGGGAACCAUGAACAAGGCUCUCACAAGAAAGGGGAAGGAAAAUUUUUAUAUAGUGUAUUUUGAAAGAGAAAGGGAAGAGGUAUGAGAACUCGGAAAAGAUGGUCAAGGAGCUUAAAGACACAGAAGACUUCUCACAGAGAGCAGCUGAUUGAGCUUAAUGCAGCUAGUGGGCAAGGGUGUUGGGAGUAUGGCAAUGAAUCCAUACUCCAAUUACAAAAAAAAACAACCAAAACCAAACAAAACUUCAGCAGAAAAACUCAUCAUAGUGAAAGGAAAGUAGGUCUGAAAUGGGAUAGAAUGGAGGUGGUGGAGGAGUUCAAUGGAUGGUCAGUAUAGAGAAUGAAAAGAAAUUAAAAGAAAAAGAGAAGAUUGGGCAGUAAUUAAAAAAAAAAAAAAUAAAUCAGAAGUCCUGGAGUCAGCACAGAUUCUUUAAAGUAGAAGAGUGAAGUGUAUUUCCAUUGCAAUAGGAAGACUACAAAGAAUGAAACCUGAACCAGGUUAAGCUAAUUCAUGUGGAAAGAGGCAGCGGUUUAGAAUAUAUCUUACAGAAAGCAACUCUAAUUGCAGAAAAACUGGUCAUAUUAAGGCCAUCUUAUUUUGCAGAUAACAUUGGUGAUCAGACUGACAAUCUGAUGAGAUGCUGCUAUUGGCAGUAUCAGUGAAAAUCCUAGAAUCUUUCCAGUGAAAUAUGACUAAAAUAUGAACAUACUUUAAUGUUUUUGCAUAAGCAGAUACUAGAAAAGUAUAUUAAUAUAAAUUCUAACUUUAUUUCUACCCUUGAUCUAGCACCAGAACUUGUAAAAAUCUUUCAUUCUGUAUGGUUAAGGAAAAAAAAAAGUAAGUCACAGACAAAAAUAAAAACAGACCAUAUUGCAAACAAGGGUAGUCUUCAGGUACAUAUAGUCUGUCAGAAGAAAAACAGUUUCUCAUUUAGCUUAGAAAAAUUUCUCAUAUAGUUUAGGAAAGAAAUAGAAGAGCCUUGACAUAAUCAAACUCUUUACAUGGAUUUAUUUUAUGGAUGCUGAUGACUGGACUUGACAAAAUCCUCCUCCUUUCUUUUAGCAAGGGUUGGAAAAAGCAAAAAUAAUUAAUCUUAGACUGUCUGUCAGCCUUUUGUGAAGCUGAGCUAACACUAACACUGUGGUUAGAUUUUAUGAAUUACUACAAAGACAAAAGAACUAUAGCAACAAAAGAUUUGGAGGACCUCUUAGAAAUGUAGGUAGGCUACUUCACAGUAAGUUCCCUCAAAUGAAACAAGCCUAUUUGUUUCAGGGUUUGUAAUAAAGUUUGGGCUAUGAUGUAAUUUUGCCCUUGUAUCACAUGGAGGAAAUGACUGAUUGGGCAUUACUCAUGAGAGGCCUGGCUGCAGUUGCAUAGGGAAUGUAUGAGCAAAGGCCAGAGUGAUCAAAAGAAAUACAUGAUGCACCAGCAGACGGUGCUGCGUUUCAGGAUUAAAGUACACCUGUAAAGCUGUACAAGGAAUUUGAAACAAAUAUUCUCCUAAUCACGCUUGGGCGGAGCCUGCUGCUACGCACCUCUGACUUUCAUAAGCAGUACGAUUAACACAUCAACUUAAACAAAAUCUUACCCACAAACUACAGAAGUGAGCAGUCUCCUGAAGGGCUUAAUUUAGGAUGCCCACUGCUUUUCUGUUGACUUCAGCCUGGCCAUAAUGACACGAGUAGAAUAUUAUUCCAUUGAUUCAAAUUCCUUGGUGAGGCUCAUCUCUCAACAGGUGACUGAAUUACCGUGCCAUGUUCAGUAGACUUAGUAGAGUAGAUUUAGCAUGAGUGUAAAACACAUUGAUGUGCAGUAAACUUACUAAUGUACUGUCAAAUUAGUAGUGUUUGCUUGCCUUGCAAACCUGGCUGCUGAAUGAAGAAUAAUAAUAAUCACUUGCAAGGGAACAUGAGAGAUUCCUGCAGUAGUAAAUCAGAAAAACACUCUUUCCCUCAACAGGGCUGGGAUUCAGCAGAAGCCAUAGAAGAUGAUACUCGCAAUCAAUUAACUCAAAGCCCUAGCUGAAUUUCUUCUGGACGUGCGGGUGAGCUCACCACUCCAUGAAGUUCGGUUUGAAUGAGAGAGCAGUGAUGUCUUCAAGUAGCUGGGCCACAAGAAAGAUCAGACAGAACCAAAUUGUACAGGCAUUAGUCAAGAUGACUCCCCCACCUCAUCAGUCUUGUCUGAGCUGAGUUCUCAGAAUAAAACUGGCUCUACUUCCACAUUCCCCAAAACAAGUAAGUAAGAAGGACUAUGACACAGAUUAAGAAAAGCAGCUAUAAUUCUUAAUAAAAUAAAAGCUUCAGCAGUGCAAACUACACAAUUGUGAGCAAGACAAUUUGCAAGAUUUCAUGUCUACAAAUAGUGGCCCUAAAUUAUACUGCCUGAAUUCUUUCCAUAAACAUUUGUCUGAGGAGUUAUCCUGUGUAGCUGUACAGAGGUGGGUUUGUAAAACAAAUGAAAGUCCUGAACAAGGCUAAUUUAGGCAGUUCAAGAUCAUUUUCAGUUUUCUUUCCCUACAGUGGAUGCUGAUAAGGCAAACUGAACACCUAGUGUGUCUUACCUCAUUAUUGAUGAAACAGUAGAGAAUUGCAACCAUCAGCCCCUGAAAUCAACAAAAAACAGAACAGCAGUGAGCAGUGCAAUUCCAUCACUUUGCCAAACAAACUUGCAGAGGGCUAGAAGCUCCACAAUGGCAUGUCUCAUAGAAGACUGAAGGAUGGAGACAAUCUCUGGUCCCUGCCAGCUCUGAUGGCAGAUGAGAGAUUUGACAGAACUAUGUCUCAAAGUGCACAAUACUGGGAGGAAGAUGUUAAUGUUUCUUCAACCAGUUAUUUUUUUCUAAAGAUACCUUUCCCCUUCUUUUUCCUUACCUGGUUUCAAGUUAUAAACACUUUGUAAGUGAAUAAUU